ACAACGGUGCCUCCACGUGGAGGUGAAAAAGGGAAUACGGUGAGGCUAAAACUUAGGGCUAAUCCGUGGCUGCUCCCGCAACUGUAAGCGAUUUGCUUGAGUUCAAUUCUACCACUGGCGUCCGCUGGGAAGGUGGAGUUCAGGCGAAAAAUUGCGAGCCAGGAGACCUGCCGUUGAUA
rnacentral:ncRNA from 1 species